GAUGAACGCUGGCGGCGUGCUUAACACAUGCAAGUCGAACGGUGAAGCUCCAGCUUGCUGGAGUGGAUCAGUGGCGAACGGGUGAGUAACACGUGAGCAACCUGCCCCUGACUCUGGGAUAACAGCCGGAAACGGCUGCUAAUACCGGAUAUGCACCAUGAACGCAUGUUAUGUGGUGGGAAAGAUUUUUCGGUUGGGGAUGGGCUCGCGGCCUAUCAGCUUGUUGGUGAGGUAAUGGCUCACCAAGGCGUCGACGGGUAGCCGGCCUGAGAGGGUGACCGGCCACACUGGGACUGAGACACGGCCCAGACUCCUACGGGAGGCAGCAGUGGGGAAUAUUGCACAAUGGGCGAAAGCCUGAUGCAGCAACGCCGCGUGAGGGAUGACGGCCUUCGGGUUGUAAACCUCUUUUAGCAGGGAAGAAGCGAGAGUGACGGUACCUGCAGAAAAAGCGCCGGCUAACUACGUG
rnacentral:rRNA from 1 species